CAGUAGCCGCGGGAAUACGGAGGGUGCAAGCGUUAUCCGGAUUUAUUGGGUUUAAAGGGUCCGUAGGCGGAUCUGUAAGUCAGUGGUGAAAUCUCACAGCUUAACUGUGAAACUGCCAUUGAUACUGCAGGUCUUGAGUAAAUUUGAAGUGGCUGGAAUAAGUAGUGUAGCGGUGAAAUGCAUAGAUAUUACUUAGAACACCAAUUGCGAAGGCAGGUCACUAAGAUUUAACUGACGCUGAUGGACGAAAGCGUGGGGAGCGAACAGGAUUAGAUACCCGUGUAGUCUCUGUCUCUUAUAU
rnacentral:rRNA from 1 species